UGUCGAGUAAUAACUUUGUAAUUUUAUAUAAAAAAUCGUAGAUUAGCCAAUCAUUGGUUGCAACUCAUACAAGUGUUUGAAAUUCCACUAUGGACAUUGAUACUACUUUCAGCACUAUUUACAUUGGGAUACUUUUGGUUAGAACUAGGUCUAAAGCAAUCUAUUGCCAACACACCAGUUUUGAUCGUUUUGCGUUUGUUUUUAUUGCAACCAUUGACUAACUAUGAAACACCACGUCAUUUCCGUCCCCGUUUUAUCCUUGCCCUUGUAUUAAUGUUACUAGUAAUAUAUUCAUCAUUAUUUUCAUCGAGCGUUGUUACUCAAAUGGUGAUGCCUAAGUAUGAGCCUGGAAUUAAAACAGAAGAUGACAUUGAGAAACAUGGUUUGAUAAAAGUUUUUAUAGCACGUUAGGUAGUGCAAUAUUUGAUAAAACGAGAAAUGUUCUUGAGAACAUAAAUGAGUUCAGAAAAAUUGCUAAAUACGCUAUUGAUCUUGAGCGAAAAGUAAAGAAUGGUGCUCGAGUAGCUGAGCAAACGUUUAUAACCGGAACAGGAAUUUCAUUAGAUUUACGUACAAUCAAUGUUAUAAACUAUCAACUCCUAAAAGAUGGAACUCAAUUGGCUUUUACUCAUAUUAUGGCACGAAACAGUGUGUAUGCUUCUUUACUACCCGAAUUAAAUGAUUUUAUCUUGAGAUGCAGAGAAACGGGAUUAACUAUAUUCUGGGAAUGGCAUAUGUACCGGAAACAGUUUACAAUAUAUGAACUUUUAAGGUUUUUAGACCACAGCCCGGAAGCAAUCCAACCAAAGAAACUAACACUGGAAAUCUUACAAGCGCCAUUUUGGUUUUUACUUAUUGGCACGCUCCUUGCAACUUCUAUUUUUUUGGUUGAA